GNUCAUUGGAAACUGGGGAACUUGAGUGCAGAAGAGGAGAGUGGAAUUCCACGUGUAGCGGUGAAAUGCGUAGAGAUGUGGAGGAACACCAGUGGCGAAGGCGACUCUCUGGUCUGUAACUGACGCUGAGGCGCGAAAGCGUGGGGAGCGAACAGGAUUAGAUACCCUGGUAGUCCACGCCGUAAACGAUGAGUGCUAAGUGUUAGAGGGUUUCCGCCCUUUAGUGCUGCAGCAAACGCAUUAAGCACUCCGCCUGGGGAGUACGGUCGCAAGACUGAAACUCAAAGGAAUUGACGGGGGCCCGCACAAGCGGUGGAGCAUGUGGUUUAAUUCGAAGCAACGCGAAGAACCUUACCAGGUCUUGACAUCCUCUGACAACCCUAGAGAUAGGGCUUCCCCUUCGGGGGCAGAGUGACAGGUGGUGCAUGGUUGUCGUCAGCUCGUGUCGUGAGAUGUUGGGUUAAGUCCCGCAACGAGCGCAACCCUUGAUCUUAGUUGCCAGCAUUCAGUUGGGCACUCUAAGGUGACUGCCGGUGACAAACCGGAGGAAGGUGGGGAUGACGUCAAAUCAUCAUGCCCCUUAUGACCUGGGCUACACACGUGCUACAAUGGGCAGAACAAAGGGCAGCGAAGCCGCGAGGCUAAGCCAAUCCCACAAAUCUGUUCUCAGUUCGGAUCGCAGUCUGCAACUCGACUGCGUGAAGCUGGAAUCGCUAGUAAUCGCGGAUC
rnacentral:rRNA from 1 species